rnacentral:lncRNA from 12 species
GCAUAAUAUAAAUUAAAUGAUACAUUUUGAAUACUUUUUGUCUUUAAAACCAAUUGACUGCUUUGGCUAUUUUUUUUAAGUGCAUUAAAGCUGAAGAAGCUUAACUCAGCAUCAUCAAAUUAGGUAAUAUUAGGCAUUUUGGGCAAAUCAUUUCCAUAUUAAAUUCUAGAUGGCAAAUAUACAUAUUCUGUUUUGGAUUCUGGUUCCUGCUGGUGUGCUGAUUUUUGUAUUUUUUUUUUUAAAUCAGAGUUUACACAAACUUGAUGAACCGAACCUAAAAGUCUUCAGCUCUCUUUUAUCAAAGAAUGCUGGACUGUACUAUUUGUUUAUUAAUGUUUUCAUUUAAUAGGACAUGAACUUACAAUUAAGGUCCGAUUUUUGCAGGACUAACUUUCUCUCACAUUCAGCCUGUGGUAGAGAGUUACAGCAUCCUCGCUUGAAUUUAACCCAAAAACCUUUACUUACAGAAGGAAAUAUUGGCUCUGUAUCCUUGUUGUUGAUCUGAUGUUUACUCUAUACUUUAUUAUUUUAAACUAGAACUGUGGUCAUCAGUCAUCCAGUAAUAUGUACUUCCCUGUGCACGUCAUGUUUUAACUGGGGCAGGACAAUUAUUACCCCAGAAUACAAAGCUGCUUUUUAUUUCUUUUAUCGUAAUACCUGGAUUGGCCAAAAGAGGGCCAUCAGCCAAUUUAACUUUGAGCCAGCCAAAGGGCAAUGUACAGAUUCGACUGACAGCAAGACAUAAGGUUUUAUUCCUCUCUUUGAUCAGCAAAGCGCAUAACAACAUGUACAAUUCGCGCGGUCUCCUUUUCCUUUCAUUUGGAUUUACCUUGCUGGAGUUCAUCACCUGUGACAGCGAUGGAUCUUUAUUGGCGGGUGAAUGUCAAAGAAUGGAUAUCAAACAUGGUAGACCAGCACAAAACGGUGAAGCCCCCUUCAAGAUCGAACCAGAAUAUAAAGAAGUGACAGAUUCUGAACUGGGAAAGAACAUUAUUGUCUCGCUUAGGGCUUCGGUUCAAUUUAAAGGUUUCAUGUUGGACGCUCGUAAGUGUGAUGAGUGUGCGUCUGCUGGCAGGUUUAAUUUAAUCCAGACUGAACCGAACAACAGCAUACUCAUCUGUGAUGACCGUGUUGUGGCUCAAAGUAAUAACCAAAGAAAAACGAUAGUUAAUGUGUUGUGGAUCCCCGAAGAGACUGGAGUGUUUUUCUUCAGAGCUGCUUUCGUUGAAGAUUUCAGUAUUUUUUGGCUAAGGAAGCCGAUCAUACUCACGACGACUGCAUCACCCACCACUGAAUCCACCAGUCACAGUACACAAACAAGUCCAACAGAGAUAUGCUUUAGCACUGUUAUUAUUCAGUCGACUGUGUUUUCUUGGAGGCUCUUCUCUCCUGAUGAUUUUCAGACCAGCGUCAAAAAUGGCCACCAUGAUUGCGUCUGUCUUUGA